rnacentral:rRNA from 1 species
UACAGAGGGCGCAAGCGUUGUCCGGAAUUAUUGGGCGUAAAGAGCUCGUAGGCGGUUUGUCGCGUCUGCUGUGAAAUCCCGAGGCUCAACCUCGGGCUUGCAGUGGGUACGGGCAGACUAGAGUGCGGUAGGGGAGACUGGAAUUCCUGGUGUAGCGGUGGAAUGCGCAGAUAUCAGGAGGAACACCGAUGGCGAAGGCAGGUCUCUGGGCCGCAACUGACGCUGAGGAGCGAAAGCAUGGGGAGCGAACAGG